AGCAGCCGCCGCGGGAAUACGUAGGUGGCAAGCGUUGUCCGGAAUUAUUGGGCGUAAAGGGCUCGCAGGCGGUUUCUUAAGUCUGAUGUGAAAGCCCCCGGCUCAACCGGGGAGGGUCAUUGGAAACUGGGAAACUUGAGUGCAGAAGAGGAGAGUGGAAUUCCACGUGUAGCGGUGAAAUGCGUAGAGAUGUGGAGGAACACCAGUGGCGAAGGCGACUCUCUGGUCUGUAACUGACGCUGAGGAGCGAAAGCGUGGGGAGCGAACAGGAUUAGAGACCCCGGUAGUCCCUGUCUCUUAUAC
rnacentral:rRNA from 1 species